GUGAAGCUGUUGCUGCCUUGCUCAACAGCGGCGAUUCAUGUGCACACAGUUGUCCAUUUUUUUUCUCCAUCCACUGAAGGUGAACAUAUGCUCUGUGAGUGUCUGGAGAAAAGCAUGCUCCUGAGGUUGACCUGUAACUUAUGACAGCCCUUCUGCCUCAGACUAUGUAGCCUGUGUAGUCUGGAAUUAUAGUGUGAACCACAAUGCCCAGCCCAGACACUGAAGGGCAGAAAAUGUAUCUGCGUCCAGAAAAUGUAUCUACAUCCAACAAAGCCAUACCGCCUUGGCCUGCCCAAAUAGUGCCACCAUCUAAGAAAGACCCAUGGAACACUGAUUGAGGCCAUGACAACUGGGUACUCGGGAUCACCGGAGAGUGCUCCUCAGUGCAUGGUGAUUCCAUUUCCAGAGUUCUUAGUGCAGCCGUUGAAGACAGUGGUGUGGCAUACCGGAAAGGUGAGGGUCAGCCAUGUGUGUUCCACUACAUGUAUGGCUACACAAGACUGGGAUAUCAACUGCCUUUAUUUGCAAACUAAGAUAACAAAAAUAUAAAGUCUGUCCUUUGUAUUUGAUGCUGGGAACUGUUAUAUCUCACUAUCUAAAAGUGGUGAGGCCUGAGUCCAGACACCUUUGGCUAUUUAUUUCUAUAUUUUUUUAUGGGUAUCGUUCAGCCUAACCACUGUGGCAUGAACAUUCAGGGGAUAUAGCAGUCGUUGUAGACAGAAGAAAGUUGGUCCAUUCUUAACUGACUACACAGCAAACACUAUUAAAGGCAGGGGAAACCAUUUGUUCAUGAAUAUACAUUUGAUACAUAUAAAUGCUUUGUGUCAUGAAUAUUUAUCUCUUUCAUGGAUUGCAGCUGUUGUGUAUUGAUAACUAUUAACAGGUUGGAAACCAUUCUUUAGAAAUCUAUGCCUGUCACUGGUGUGUAAAAUCAGCCUUGGAGAUUUAUCUCCUCCCCUCCCCCACUUUUUGUGGGAUAGAUAGAAUCCUCUUGGGGUUUAUAAUGAGGUUAGUCCUUUAGCAGUCAGACAAAAGAAUUUGAUAAGAAUGAAAGACACCUUUCAUAGGCGAGUUUUACACGUUUGUGAAUACAUGAGAUUUAACAAAAUAUACUUGUUUUAGUUUUAAUUUUGAUUGUUAGGUAAAAUUGCAAUCAAGGCAGUCUUUUGUACACCAAUAGUUUUCAGGUUUUGAAGAAUGUUUUGCUGUUGACAUAGUUAAAAACACAGGGCAUAAAUAUAUUAACCAUGAGGCAGACUCUGACUCUUAUCUCCAAAGUUGAGGACCCGUGCCUAUUCUGUUUCUCUAGCCUUGGUUUGAAGCUUGCUCAUGUGGGCUACAAUUUUCCCACUACUAACUUUUCUUUGUUCUCCAAGCAAACAAUGCUGUCUUAUGCCUCGGUGCAGCUUUUACUCCUAUUCCCAGUGUCUGAGAUAUUUGUCUUUGUGGCAAUUCUGAGGUUCUGAGUACUUCUCAUGUCCUUUCAUCCUUUUCCAUAGAAGAAUCAGCUCUAAUACCUGUAUCUUGGGAGAGCCCAUGUAUCUCCUCUGGCUCACUUAUAUCUUUAGGUGUCCUUGCCGGUGUGCACUUGCAUGGUAAGCUCUUUCCUUACAUUUUUCUACUGUGCUCCCAUGGGAUAUUAUAGAUGCAUGUAUUCCUUACUGGUUAUUUGCUAUAAAAUGUGUCUCUUGCACUAUAAAGUUUCCCGAGUAUAAGAAAAUGUCUAACACUUCUCUGCUCCCCACACCGAGUUUAAUGCUAGACAAACUUGAGCUGAAUACAUGGUUAUAUAAAGAUACUGUAGUAUUGAAGGGUAAAUGUCCAAGAAAAACACCUUGCUUUUAUGUAACCUCAUAUGCAGAUAUGAGUUAUAGAUACAUUAUUUUUUUUGCCAUAUCUUUUUAAAAUGUUCCUUGUCUCUUUUAAUUUUCAGCUUUAACAUUUUUUUUUUGGCUCACUCUGAAUUCUUGCUUCACAAGAAUAAUUUUGGUGUCAUUACCACUCAGGGCCAUGCACAGUGCAUUCUCAGGUCUAUUCUUUCCCUCCUUAAACACACACCUACCUGACAAAAGUAAGCCACAGAGAUAGUGCUCAUCUGUUACUGUGCUCAACCCUGUUUCAAGUUAUGGAAAAGUUGACUUGAGACAGUAAGCAUUUCUGAGCCUAAUGAGUCUUAAAAAAGAUUUACCUGUUUAUUUUUCAUGUGUAUAUAUUUAUACCUACAUGAGUCCAUGUGGAUCACAUGCAUGUAGAAGGCCUCGGAAGCCAGAUGAGGUUAUCAGAUUCUCUGGAACUGAAGUGACAGGCAGUUGUGGGCUACUGAAUGGAUGCUGGGAACUAACAUGAGUCCUCUGCAAGAGCAAUAAUGGUCUUGACCACUGAUCCAUCACUCUAGGACCUAUCAUGCGUUUUUAAAUGUAUGCUGAAGUUAACCUUUGCUUUUAUGUGCUGAUCCAUUCUGUACCAUAAAGUUAGAAGACAUUGUUAUAGUUCUGGAGUAUCUUACAUGUCAGCGAAGAAGCUGAAUAUGCUCAUUAACUCCUUUGUUCAGUGUUCAUCUCUAUAAUUGCCAUGGACAUAUGCAUAUCUGCUUCUUGUGUGUUAAUCUUGAUCAUCAAUUUGACAGGGUUUAGAAUAAUCUUGAAAGUAAAUGUCUGGGCAUGCCUAUAGGGAAUUUUCUAGGUUGGUUGCAGUAUGAAGACCUAUACAGAAUAUUGUGCAUGCCAUUCCAUGGCCUGGAGUCCUGGACUGGAUAAAAAGGAGAAAUAGAACUGGGCACAAGUAUUCAUCAGUCUGUGCUUCUUGACUGAAGAUGCAAUAUAACCAGCUGCCUCAAACUAUAGCCAAUAUGGCUUCUCACCCUCAAAGGACUCAAACUGUUAGUUCAAAUAAACUCUUCCUCUCUUAAUUUGCUUCGGUCAUAUAUUUUGUCACAGUAGCAGCAACAACAAAAGAAUUCAUGUGGAUAAUCUCUUUUAACUUUAUUAUUCAUGAGAUGGGAACAUGUGGAUCCUCCAUAAAAGAAUAAGGCCAAUUUCUUUAUUCCUUGAAUUUGAACUGAACUGUCACGCGUGCUAGAAGAGAUGCUAUGUAUUUUGAAAUAUCCAUUUUUCUGCCCACGUUACUUUUGGGAUUCUGCAUGUUUAAUGUGAUAAAACCAAAUUUAGCUUGAGGUAAAAUAGAAGAUGAUGUAGGACACCAAGGUUAUAUGAGCAGUCCUAGAAACAGCCAUCAUAGACCCAUGAACGUUAUCCACACUUAUAGGUGACCACAAAUGAAGGCCCAAAUCAUGUCAAGAUCAGUUAAAUGUUCUCCAAACCAUAAGGACAUCAAUAGAUUUACCAGCUAAAUAAACAGUUUAUACUGCUAAAUUGUGGAUCACUUCGUGACAAAGCAAUGAAUAUAUUGAAUAGAAUUCAGUAACUUCUAGUAAUUCUGACAAAAUUCUAUAGUAAGGGUCAGAAGAAAAUAUAGACUUGAAGGAUGUACAGAAUGGGGAUUAGCUGAGGCUUUCAUGCUGGUUCUGAUUGUAUCUAUGGAUAUGGAGCCCCUUUCAAUUGCAGAUGCUUCCCCAAACCUUUUAUUCACAUCUACAUGGUGUGUUCUGGCAAGGGCUCUAUCUACCCUUAUUGGCCUUUUGUCUCCAUUAAAUAAAUAUCAGACUUGUCUUAUUGUCAAUCC
rnacentral:lncRNA from 1 species